AGAAACACAAAGAAUGAAGUGUAACAACUGUCUUCUAGCCCGAAGGUACUAGCCGGGUCAGGUUACCUCUAGAGUAACUGACAACAAAGACAUUUCUGCUGCUUAACCAUCAUCAAGUUUUUGUUCUCUCAACAUGGUUGGAGGAUUUCCAUCUUGUCCAACAUGCCUAAUACUACAGCUCUUUACAUCAGUUGUGGACUACUUUUUUACAUCCUAAUAUCAAUCUUCCGAGGAGCCAGACAUUCAGAUAUGAUGCGCAGAAAGGCACAUUGUAUGCAGCUUCAGCACUGGAUCCUCGCUUUAAGGCCCUUCCAUUCCUGUCUGCUGAAGAGCAAGAUGACACCUUCUCCAGACCGCAAACUGAGGCUGCCACUGCUGCGUGUGAUCAAAAUACUGAGGGUAUUGAUAUCGAUGAAGGAGCUGAGGAGAUGGGUGAAGCAACUUUGCCCAAGAAGCCUAAGAAAUCCAGCACCGUGGAGUCUCUCCUUGGGACAGUCUACUCACCAAUAGUAAAGAACCAUGGACAAACAAACUCCAGCAAUGAGGGCUGAAGAUGAAAUAAGAAGAUACAGGGCAGAAAACCCUGCUGGGCUGAAUGAGAAUCCUCUGAACUGGUGGAGGUCAAAUGAAAGAGAGUAUCCACUGUUGGCUCGAAUUGCUAAGCAAUACCUUUGUGUCCCAGGGACCAGUAUUUCGUCAGAGAGGGUGUUUUCCACUGCGGGUGAUAUUCUCACUGCAAAAAGGAGCUGCCUAACCCCGGAUCAUGUCAAUGAGCUGCUUUUCCUUCACAAGAAUCUCACAUUUAGUGAGAAGUGAGAACAAAGUCACAUUGACAGGUCUAGACAGUUUAAGUUUAUUUGUAGUUUUGUUACCAUUAUUAUUUAAUUUUGAACUUAAAGAAACAGUGCCCAAAUGCAGUUUGCAGUUAUGGAAACUUGUAGUUCCAAGUACAGUUUUACUUGCACUUCCUUUCUCAUUUCAAGUUUGCCCUUUUGAGACUUGACAGUUUUGUUUACAGUUCAAUUUUAAGCUGCCCAAUUUACAAGUUUGGACUUUCUGUUUUAUGUUUUGUUUACAGUGAAGAUAA